rnacentral:rRNA from 1 species
GACGAACGCUGGCGGCGUGCUUAACACAUGCAAGUCGAGCGCGAAAGUGACUUCGGUCAUGAGUAGAGCGGCGGACGGGUGAGUAACGCGUGGGAACCUGCCCUUUGGUACGGAACAACCCUGGGAAACUAGGGCUAAUACCGAAUACGCCUCGAGAGAGGGAAAGAUUUAUCGCCAUUGGAUGGGCCCGCGUUGGAUUAGCUAGUUGGUGGGGUAACGGCCUACCAAGGCGACGAUCCGUAGCUGGUCUGAGAGGAUGAUCAGCCACACUGGGACUGAGACACGGCCCAGACUCCUACGGGAGGCAGCAGUGGGGAAUAUUGCGCAAUGGGCGGAAGCCUGACGCAGCGACGCCGCGUGGGGGAUGACGGCCUUCGGGUUGUAAACCUCUUUCGACCUUGACGAAGCCUUUGGGUGACGGUAGGGGUAGAAGAAGCACCGGCCAACUACGUGCCAGCAGCCGCGGUAAUACGUAGGGUGCGAGCGUUGUCCGGAAUUAUUGGGCGUAAAGAGCUCGUAGGCGGUUUGUUGCGUCGGCCGUGAAAACCUGGGGCUUAACCCUGGGCCUGCGGUCGAUACGGGCAGACUUGAGUUCGGUAGGGGAGACUGGAAUUCCUGGU